rnacentral:tRNA from 1 species
GAAUUUUGAAUAUUGUCUCGAUGUUGACCUAGGUACAAUAUGUGGGCACUCCGUUCAGUAAUUACUUGCAGCCA